AUUGAACGCUGGCGGCAGGCCUAACACAUGCAAGUCGAGCGGAUGAAGGGAGCUUGCUCCUGGAUUCAGCGGCGGACGGGUGAGUAAUGCCUAGGAAUCUGCCUGGUAGUGGGGGAUAACGUCCGGAAACGGGCGCUAAUACCGCAUACGUCCUGAGGGAGAAAGUGGGGGAUCUUCGGACCUCACGCUAUCAGAUGAGCCUAGGUCGGAUUAGCUAGUUGGUGGGGUAAAGGCCUACCAAGGCGACGAUCCGUAACUGGUCUGAGAGGAUGAUCAGUCAAACUGGAACUGAGACACGGUCCAGACUCCUACGGGAGGAAGCAGUGGGGAAUAUUGGAAAAUGGGCGAAAGCCUGAUCCAGCAAUGCCGCGUGUGUGAAGAAGGUCUUCGGAUUGUAAAGCACUUUAAGUUGGGAGGAAGGGAAGUAAGUUAAUACCUUGCUGUUUUGACGUUACCAAAAGAAUAAGCACCGGCUAACUUCGUG
rnacentral:rRNA from 1 species